rnacentral:misc_RNA from 1 species
GAUGAAGAACGUAGCGAAAUGCGAUACUUGGUGUGAAUUGCAGAAUCCCGUGAACCAUCGAGUCUUUGAACGCAAGUUGCGCCCGAAGCCAUUAGGCCGAGGGCACGCCUGCCUGGGCGUCACACGUCGUUGCCCCCCCAUCUACUCCUUCGGGAUUGCGGGGGGCGGAUGAUGGCCUCCCGUGCGCCUCGUCGCGCGGUUGGCCUAAAUGCCAAGUCCUCGGCGACGCACGCCACGACAAUCGGUGGUUGCGAAACCUCGGUUGCCCGUCGUGUGCGGUCGUCGCGCAUCGAGGGCUCGAAAAAAUUGCCGGGCUUCGGCUCGACUUUCAACGCGACCCCAGGUCAGGCGGGGUUACCCGCUGAAUUUAAGCAUAUCAUAAGCGGAGGA